GAGUUUGAUCAUGGCUCAGAUUGAACGCUGGCGGCAGGCCUAACACAUGCAAGUCGAGCGGAUGACGGGAGCUUGCUCCUUGAUUCAGCGGCGGACGGGUGAGUAAUGCCUAGGAAUCUGCCUGGUAGUGGGGGACAACGUUUCGAAAGGAACGCUAAUACCGCAUACGUCCUACGGGAGAAAGCAGGGGACCUUCGGGCCUUGCGCUAUCAGAUGAGCCUAGGUCGGAUUAGCUAGUUGGUGGGGUAAUGGCUCACCCAAGGCGACGAUCCGUAACUGGUCUGAGAGGAUGAUCAGUCACACUGGAACUGAGACACGGUCCAGACUCCUACGGGAGGCAGCAGUGGGGAAUAUUGGACAAUGGGCGAAAGCCUGAUCCAGCCAUGCCGCGUGUGUGAAGAAGGUCUUCGGAUUGUAAAGCACUUUAAGUU
rnacentral:rRNA from 1 species